AGAGAAACAAGAGUUAAUUUCAAAGCCACAUACAAUCUGAAGGAAAAACAAUAAUGUAAUUCAGAUUCAAAAAAAUACCUGGUCUGUGCCCAGGAAAACAUAAAUAGGUAAUAGGUUAUACUUGAGACAAAUGUGAUCUUCUUGAAACCCCAUAAGCUACUUUAUCCAGUCUGACUUAGAAAGACCUUUCACCUUAGAUAGCUCAUCUUUGUCAUCAUUAAUGCAUCUUACGUACUUAACCAGGAAGUCCAGCCUUUGACACUACACUGUUGCCACAGAUGAGCAUUUGUGGAAUUGCAUAUUGCAUGUUGCAGAGAAGACACUGACCUAGCAUAGCAGCAACCAAAAAAAAAAAAUCUUACAAAAAAACCACAAACAAAGAACACCUCCACUCAAGAACUGCUUCAAAAGAAUUUUACUUACAGAAAAGUAGUCUUGAUUUCCCUGCCCCCAAUCAUCCUGAAAGCAAGAAGUGUUGCUAAGAUUACUGUGCUCUGCCUUGACAGCACAAUCUCUAGGGACUUUACUUUUCAGCACCCCCUUUGAAAGCUUUGUCUGCACGAGGGCCAUCGCAGCUCCCACAAGUAUCAGGUAACUGAGGGAAGAACUGAUGGAUGUGGGAAGGGGGUGGGCUAAGAGAGAAGCAUUGUAAAACAAAGGCUAAAAUCAGGCUAUUUGGAAGAGCAGGGAAAGGGAAGACGCACUAUCCACCCCGUGUCACAUUUACAGACAGACUAACCUGCCAAUGAGAUCCCCAGCACUCCAGUAAUAAUAAUCAUCAGCAUAAACUAAUCAAGAGUGACUCCAUGGGUUGGAAAGAUGCCAGCUAUUUCAUCUGAGCCACCUUAUCUUCAAUCCUAACUUGAGAACAAGAGCCAUUAAGAUGUAUUCCCCUCCCCCUCUCUACUCUGGGAUAUUAUUAACUUAGCUAUACCUUUCAAAAUUGCCAUUUAGCCAGCCAUAGCCAAACUUAGAGAAUGAUUCAGAAAAACCCUCCAAAAUGAAAAAAGCCAAAGAAAAAUAAGAAAAAAAAACAACACCCACUGAUUUGAUAAGUACAGUAAGAACUACAAAUGAAAUAAUAAAUGUAACGUAUUUCUGGUGAGAACAAUAAUAGAACAAAUAUAAACUCUCUCCAUGAACAGCUUUGAUGCUUUGCCAUAGAAGCUAUGUACUGUAAGGUUUAUUUCUUCUUAAUUAUAUAUGCACUCAGUAGUGGUCUGCAGCACUUAACACCUUUUCUGUACCAGAGACCAAAAUACAGUUGAGAAUAAGCUGCUACAAGGUGCAGCUUUAAGGCAGACCCCAAAUUCCUUGAGAGGAGGAAGAAAAAAAGAAAAAAGAAAAAGAGGCUGAGGCAGACUGUUUUCUCACGACUGGACACAGCAUGCAGCCUCUAGUUUGUGAUGGACACCAGCUUGGAAUAUAGCCUAAAUAUGUUUCAUAUUCAAAGCAGACUAGGAUUCCAUUUUGUUCACUGAUAACUGUGGGAAAAUGCUUCAAAAAGUAAGCAAAGCUGGGCAAGCUGAGACACGCACCCUGACUUUUACAGGAAGGCUGCAUUGGCCACACCAUUUUUGGUUAAUAUUUCAUGAAAGUGACAUAUUUGUUAUUAGUCUAGAACAAGUCUCUCAACUUCGAAGAAACUUCUAAAACCAAACAAAAAAAGCGCAACAUGAUCAUUCAGUGCUAUUAAAAGCAUAUUUAAGAAGUUCUUUCACAGGUCAAAGGUAAAAAUCCAUCAAACAAAACUCGAAUAGAGCUCCUGAGCCAUUUUAGAGAUAGACAUUGCACUAUCAUGGAUGCUUUCUCACUGGCUUAAUUGCAAACACUGAGAAGCACAACAUGUUAGUGCAAGCUUGAAAAGCGUUAUGAUAUAGAGAGUGAAUUAUGGCAACUCGCACUAUUUCCAAUAAAGUUAAGGAUGUUUUCCUUUCGGCCUUGCAUAAUUGUUUUGGAAGAUAUUUUGUCUAAACUCAUAGCAACAGUUACGGGUUGGUUCUCAGGACUGUUUACCAACACACCUAGCCCUUAAGGAAAGGAAAGGCUGAAUCCUGGCUUUAAGUAGUCAUGUUGCUAGAUACCUGUGUGACCACUUUCCAACAGGAGUUUGUUUACAGAGUAAGGAGCUUCUGCUUAACUGGAUAGAAAUAGAAUGCAGGGAGAAAAGAUCUACCCUAGCAAUUCCCUUGUUUCUGUGUGCCCCCUUUCACCUCAUCUGACGUAUUUUAAAUAAGGAAUCCCAAUCCUGAAAAGAGAAGAUAUCAAGAAUGGCAGUUUAAUCUCUAGGCUCUGUCCUUCUCAGCAUGGGGCACAGAAAGGACAAGACUUUGUGUUCAGUACAAAAAGCAGAGACAUCCACAUCCCCACAACAGCAGUAAGCGCCCCUUAGCAAUACAGCCAUCACACAGCUCUAGCCAGUGCUUCCCCACCACUGCCCAAAAGAGUUCUGUGCAAAGACCGAACCAUUGUUAUAUUUUAAAAGUGCACAUCAUCCCCACUCUAUAGAUCAACAAUUAAGAUAUCUGAGGAAUGACUACUUACAGUGAGGAGGUUUAAGUUUUCCCAUGCCCACAGCUGACCUCUGCCCAUCUUUGAAUAAAUACAUACGUCCAGACACAAGAAUUCCACGUCAUGCACCUUACUCCAUCAAAGCAAUGUCCUAAGCAAAAAGGCAGCAGUGAACUUUCUGGAGUCACACCCAAUUAGCCACUGUAAAACUGAGCUUGACUAGCAGACGGGGAUUCUGACUUGAGAGGAAAGGCAGUUUGAAAGGAACAGCAAGCUGGCACAGCGUGCAGAACAUCCACAGUCUGAUCCACCCAGAGGACUGAAAGGCAGCAUGGUCAAACUUCAGCAAAAGUCCUAUGAGUUAAGCUAGGAGGGGAUGGAAAUGGUUGAGAUCACACUCCAAAUAAAAUAAAGCAAGCACCCAUGUGCAAAGGUUGCUCUCCUCAGUGACAAGCCACCAUGACUUAAGUCUCAGUCCACUGAUAACACAACUCACUGAAAGCUUUGAAGAAGCUGAAAUCCAUCAAAGUCAAUCCCUUUUAAGGGUCUGAAAGGGCAAUGCUGCGUAUUUUCUAGUUAUUUAAAUGAAAUAUUAGCAGCUCCAGCUAAACAGCAGGUGUUUAAAGCUCUCUGCUCUAUUUUUUCUUCUUCCCUUCAUCCAGCUAUUCACCCAAAAGAGGUGUUUUUGUACUUCGGCUUCUAAAUUCUGCAAUUCAGCAUGACAGAGGAAGACCGAAACAUCAGGCUUAUUAGCCAAAGGACUGCCUCCUUUUGAAAGAGGCUGCAACUUGUUAAACUUCUUUCCCUUCUAUCCUUGUGGUUAAACCAUGCAAGAGCUUUGCUGAGCAUGUGAAACCAUGACUAGACAAAUGCAGUGGGAAGUUUGCAUUCUUAAUGUUGUGCCUGCUCCUCCCCUCUGCCAAACAAGGAGAGCAGGUUAAGCUCAGCCAUGUUCUCCUCAUGCAUUCCCAGCCAGGCACAGCUGUGAAGACUCAUCAGAACAGUCCUCACUCUGCCUGCACUACUAGGAAGAAGGCUAGGAGCUGGGCACACUAUCACAGGGAGCACAGUGCAUUGAAGGAGAUGCAGUCUCUCUGUCCUUCAGCUAGAAGGGGAUGAGAGGAAGAACGGAGAAACAGAGUAGCAGUUCAAAGUGCCCAAGAGCCAAGGAGGAGGACACCUCUGAGCACCUUUAAGGCUAGUCACAAAACCACUUCCCCUACAAGUCAGCAGGGCUCUCACUUGCAUGCUCCUGCUGCCACAAGGCAAGUCAUGAUGACGCCAUGCAGAUGUGUCACCACGUCAUGCCACAGUCAGACAGUAAGCCCUGAAAACAGAAUGCUCCUCCACAGGAGAUGAAGACAACUGGUUCCUCAUCCACAGAAAUUACGUAUUUGGGGGAAAAAAGGGAAAUAAUUCUCUGGAUUCUUUCUUGAACGCAGUGAGGAAUGCAAUUCUAUAGACCAGUCUACAUAAGGCUAAGGCAACAACCCAUAAGGUGUUACUCUCUUAACCCUACAUAUAUAGGCAAAACAAGUUGCAGUUAUCUUAUGCAUCAGAGUCCCUGACCAAGUGCUAGACUGAACCUCAAACAGGCAGGUCUUGUCAGAAUAUGCCCAGGUGAAAAUGCAAGCACGCUUUUCUUUUGCUCUUUGGUUUGAGCAGUUCCUCCACUGCUGUUAGUGCUGGUAAACACUUCAUUGCUACAGAAAGAAGAUACGAAACCGAAUUCAACUCACUGGCAACUUCCAGGAAUAACUUUCACCCACCAUUCCAGCUUGGCAUAAGCCAAGCCAGUAACUGAAGACUGCUUCUGUGACACAACUUCUUCUUCCUGCCCAAUGAUGGACACAAAGUACUGCAAUCCAAACUAUGCAUAUGCUUAAGCAUCCAGUAAAUCAGCUUGAUCUCUGAUCUGUCAAACUUGCUGGAAUAAUGAGUGUCCUGUGAAUACAUAAUGUGCUGAAGUUGCCAUUGUGUGAAGUAAGUCCAUGGUUUGUCUGGGAGCCGAGCAAUGCUGAGUCUACUGCUGCUUCCUGUUGCUUGUCCUGUAUUAGCAUUAUUUUUGGAUAGGCCCUAUUAUGUUCUGUAAUCCUCACUGCAGUCAGUAUGGCCACGCUAUUGUUCUCGGUUAAUAUUAGCAGUCAAUGUUGCUGUCUGGGUGGCCAGGCUACAAUGUAUUCCAAUCAUAAAACUAGCAUGCAUUAAUGAAACAAUGUACUGGGUUAGAGGGGGGUGACUUAGGGUCCAUCCCUCCCACUACCCUUCUUAAAUAUAUAUUUAGAUUUUAUAUAUAACAUUAUAUAAUAUUUCUUUUGAAACUAAUGAUUUUAGGUGAUUGCAGCUACUGAGGUGCAUCACACGACAACAGCAUUUUAAUCAGCACCUUAUCUGGUUACAGGGUGAUUUUCUCACGGAGCCCCACUUGUUAAAGGCUAGCAGCUUCUUCUGAAUACUACAACAAUAAUGAGUAUAAUUUAUGCUGUAGAGGAGUGACCACAGAACCAUGAGCUCCAGAGAAACAAGAAAAGUGAGAAAAAGCAGUGCCUGCCCAGAGGAUGUCUUUCAUGACUGCAGGAACCAGCAACAGCAAGACUUGUCAUAAAAAGAGGGAAAGGCCAAAUAUUUUAUUUUUUUUAAAGUAAGAUGGAAUUAAGAUGUUCAAAACACUUUUUCCAUUAUAUUUCACACUAAAAUUAUUUAGAUGCUGGAGGGUUUUUUUCCACCUCAGUAGUUUGCUGGUGGGUUGGUGCAAUUGGCCCCAAUAUUAAAUAGUUACAAGGAACAUAAUUUCAGGAUAAACAAGCUGCUUGAAAUUGGAGCUAUGCAUUCCAAAGGAAUUGCCAACUUUGACCUGCUUCUUACUCACAGCCUCAUCAAAUCUGCAAAGAAACCUCUCUUCACAUAAAAGCAAAGUUUACUGCUAAGCUUUGCUUUGUUAAAGCAUGUGCGGCUCCCUCAAGGUACCGCACACAUCAGACUUUGAAUACCGUUUGAUUCUUUAAGAAAGGCGAGAGAUUUGAUUUAUGCCAGAGAAGAGCAUGCGUCUACCAAACAAAACUUGUUGAGACUGACUUUGACAAGUGGAACAUGGAAAUCCUUUUGUUCCAUACUUUUCUAUAUGGCCUCAUAAGCCAAGCCUGCCCAUCAAGAAAAAUCAAUCAAGUCUCCAAAAGAAUGUAUGAAUAAAGCCUAGCUGUGAGUAUAUGUUUUAAAAAUAUUAUUAUAAUUGCAAAUUACUGUAGAAUUGCAAGCUACUGCAGGGGUGGCUUUCUGGACGCACUCUAGUGUUUUGUCUCUGCUGCUCUUCUGCCCUGUUCCCUAGCAACUUUGCCAAACCUCCAAUCGCUUAAAUGAAUUUAUGGCCCACCAUCUCCACAGCCAUUACUCACAAGGGUACAUAUCAAAACUGACAACAGCUAACUGCAUGAGUUAUUAAUAAAACACCAAUGCUUCAAAUUUACAUUACAACUAUAAGCCAACUCUAACAGUACUUUUACAUUACACACCAUUUUCUUCUGUUCAAAACCUCUAGUGCAACAUUCCUAUUUUUGACAAAAGACAAGAGGGGCAGCUUGGUGUGGGAAGAAUUGUUUUGGGUUUCCCCCCCCACUCAUUUUCUUGUUUUUUAAAGUCAUGAGGGCAACAAGAGUUCUGAAUGUUACUGAUUCAAGCUGUAACAUCCUAUAAAAACCUCCCUUAAACAGCAGAACACAAUCAAUACAUACACAGAGAUGAGCAUGAAUUUUCAAGUGCAAUACAAUUAACAUUCCGGUUUAGCUCCGGAGUUGCUUUGAAUAUAUCCAAUUGAAAAGUAAUGGUAAACUCCCAUGAUCAGCCGCAUUUGUAAAUGUAAAGCUGGUCUUACGCUUUGAUCAAUCAACGGUCUUUACCCAUCUAAAGAGAUUGUUUUAAGUGCUAAAAUUUCAGCAUCAGAUUUAAGUUGACUAAUUAUUAGUUUAUCUUUGGAGCUUUCAGAACCCCUUAAAAAUGAUUUCUGUACACAAUUUUAGUACAAACAAGAGCUUUGUCACAUUAGAUAUUCUUUUGUUCCAAUGCUAUUUAAAAGUCACAAUGGCUAACCAAAAAGCCGUGUCCUAUGAAGUUAAAGCUGGGAUGCAGGCUUGAUAAUUGAGAACAGUCAUCACAAUCUCAAAAAUGACAUUCUUGCAUGGGAAAAUGCAAGCAUUUAUUCCAAAAAUUUCCAGUUGUAGGAAAGAGUUGUCAGAAGUUGACAAGCUUUACGCAUUUUGCAGGCUGCACUAGAGUUUCACUGCUGCUCUAGGAUUCCAGUGCUCAAUUACAUUCAGCAGGACAACUGAAAAAUUUCUUUCGCUAAAGAAAGCAGGUAAGAAACUUCCUCUGUGGUCCCCAGGACCCCAAGUCCUCCUUCUACACUGAAGAUUUCCCUUCCUAGU